UUAUUUAAUUUGACUUGUUCUCAGACUUCAGUUUCAAGGUAGGGUUGGCUGAUUCCGGCAGUCGAGAGGCCUCUGGUAGCGGAGGGGUCCCCCGCCAGGCGCCGAAUCCGGGCCGCGGUUACAAUGGGUGGGGUUGGAGGCGCGAGGCCUAUACCCAGUAAUGAUCCUUCCGCAGGUUCACCUACGGAAA
rnacentral:misc_RNA from 1 species